ACGAACGCUGGCGGCGUGCUUAACACAUGCAAGUCGCACGGAAAGGCCCUGCUUUUGUGGGGUGCUCGAGUGGCGAACGGGUGAGUAACACGUGAGUAACCUGCCCUUGACUUUGGGAUAACUUCAGGAAACUGGGGCUAAUACCGGAUAGGAGCUCCUGCUGCAUGGUGGGGGUUGGAAAGUUUCGGCGGUUGGGGAUGGACUCGCGGCUUAUCAGCUUGUUGGUGGGGUAGUGGCUUACCAAGGCUUUGACGGGUAGCCGGCCUGAGAGGGUGACCGGCCACAUUGGGACUGAGAUACGGCCCAGACUCCUACGGGAGGCAGCAGUGGGGAAUAUUGCACAAUGGGCGGAAGCCUGAUGCAGCAACGCCGCGUGCGGGAUGACGGCCUUCGGGUUGUAAACUGCUUUCGCCUGUGACGAAGCGUGAGUGACGGUAAUGGGUAAAGAAGCACCGGCUAACUACGUG
rnacentral:rRNA from 1 species